rnacentral:rRNA from 1 species
GAUGAACGCUGGCGGCGUGCCUAAUACAUGCAAGUCGAGCGAACAGACGAGGAGCUUUCUCCUCUGACGUUAGCGGCGGACGGGUGAGUAACACGUGUAUCACCUACCUAUAAGACUGGGAUAACUUCGGGAAACCGGAGCUAAUACCGCAUCAUAUAUUUAACCGCAUUGUUCAAUAGUUAUAUACGCUUUUGCUGUCACUUAUAGACGGAUCCGCCCCGCAUUAGCUAGUUGGUAAGGUAACGGCUUACCAAGGCAACGAUGCGUAGCCGCCCUGAGAGGGUGAUCGGCCACACUGGAACUGAGACACGGUCCAGACUCCUGCGGGAGGCAGCAGUAGGGAAUCUUAGGCAAGGGGCGAAAGCCUGACGGAGCAACGCCGCGUGAGUGAUGAAGGUCUUCGGAUCGUAAAACUCUGUUAUUAGGAAAGAACAAAUGUGUAUGUAACUAUGAACAUCUUGACGGUACCUAAAGAGAAAGCCACGGCUAACUACGUG